AUCGUGGCUCAUGGUUUUUUAAAGCGGAGACGGAGUAUUAUUUUUUCGAGCGGCGGACGGGUGAGUAAUGCCUAGGAAAUUGCCCUGAUGUGGGGGAUAACCAUUGGAAACGAUGGCUAAUACCGCAUGAUGCCUACGGGCCAAAGAGGGGGACCUUCGGGCCUCUCGCGUCAGGAUAUGCCUAGGUGGGAUUAGCUAGUUGGUGAGGUAAGGGCUCACCAAGGCGACGAUCCCUAGCUGGUCUGAGAGGAUGAUCAGCCACACUGGAACUGAGACACGGUCCAGACUCCUACGGGAGGCAGCAGUGGGGAAUAUUGCACAAUGGGCGCAAGCCUGAUGCAGCCAUGCCGCGUGUGUGAAGAAGGCCUUCGGGUUGUAAAGCACUUUCAGUCGUGAGGAAGGUAGUGUAGUUAAUAGCUGCAUUAUUUGACGUUAGCGACAGAAGAAGCACCGGCUAACUCCGUGCCAGCAGCCGCGGUAAUACGGAGGGUGCGAGCGUUAAUCGGAAUUACUGGGCGUAAAGCGCAUGCAGGUGGUUUGUUAAGUCAGAUGUGAAAGCCCGGGGCUCAACCUCGGAAUUGCAUUUGAAACUGGCAGACUAGAGUACUGUAGAGGGGGGUAGAAUUUCACGUGUAGCGGUGAAAUGCGUAGAGAUCUGAAGGAAUACCGGUGGCGAAUGCGGCCCCCUGGACAGAUACUGACACUCAGAUGCGAAAGCGUGGGGAGCACACACGAUUAGAUACCCUGGUAGUCCACGCCGUAAACGAUGUCUACUUGGAGGUUGUGGCCUUGAGCCGUGGCUUUCGGAGCUAACGCGUUAAGUAGACCGCCUGGGGAGUACGGUCGCGAGAUUAAAACUCACAUGAAUUGACGGGGGCCCGCACAAUCGGUGGAGCAUGUGGUAUAAUUCGAUGCAACGCGAGAUCAUUACCUACUCUGACAUCCAGAGAACUUUCCAUAGAUUGGAUUGGUGCCUCAGGACUCUGAGACAAGUGCUGCAUCGCCUGUCGUCACUCAAGUGCUGAAAUGUCGG
rnacentral:rRNA from 1 species